UCACCCUACGGGGGGCAGCAGUGGGGAAUAUUGCGCAAUGGGCGAAAGCCUGACGCAGCGACGCCGCGGGAGGGAUGAAGGGCUUCGGAUCGUAAACCUCUGUCAGCAGGGAAGAACGGUCACUGUGCUAAUCAGCAGUGAAUUGACGGUACCUGCAAAGGAAGCACCGGCUAACUCCGUGCCAGCAGCCGCGGGAAUACGGAGGGGGCGAGCGUUAAUCGGAAUUAUUGGGCGUAAAGCGCUCGUAGGCGGUAUGUCAAGUGAAGGGGGAAAGCCCCGCGUCCAACGUGGGACCGGCUCUUGAA
rnacentral:rRNA from 1 species